AGUUAAAAAGAAGGGAUAAAAAGAAUGAACCCAUAGUCGGUCUCGCUUCAGAAUUUAGAUACUGAUUCAGAAGACUCGAAAGCCAGAGUGUAUCUGCCAAUCGCAGCAGGUCAAACGUCAAGUGUGGCAACACUUGAUGAGCAAAUGUGGUAUCUAUAGGACUGUGUCUGACUUUGCUCAUGAGAAGGAGUGGGCUAAUCAGAAUGCAAGGGAUGAUUGACGAUCAAGACCUUGGCUUCUUUGCUAAUUUUCUCGGCAUAUUUGUUUUUGCUUUGGUGAUUGCAUAUCAUUACGUGGUGGCUGAUCCAAAAUAUGAAGGCAACUGAGGGUAACGUUUUGGUCUUUGCUGGUGGGGAUGCCAUGCCAUUUCUGUUUUGCUAUCUGAGAAUUUUUGGAAUGAGAAGGUAGGGAGAACUGAAGAUGAUGGUUUUUGAUCUUUACCUGUCUGAGUUUGAUACUCUGAAGAAGCUUGGCUCCUGUUUCUUGCAAGGGCUUGGCUUGCGAUACUGUCUCCAACGCAAUUGUGGUAUUUUGUGCAGAGAAUGCCUUCAUUAGGAGGCUAAUCCUUUCUGAUGCAUUUUGAGUGUACAAUCUACUCAGUUUGUUUACCUGUAACAAUCAUGGAAUGAUGACAAUCAAUUACUGCUCAUGGAUGGGACAUUUCUGGUGUCCAGCUAGAAUUUUUUAUUUGGAUAUUUAGAUUACUAUGA